UACGUAGGGCGCAAGCGUUAUCCGGAAUUAUUGGGCGUAAAGAGCUCGUAGGCGGUUUGUCGCGUCUGCCGUGAAAGUCCGGGGCUCAACUCCGGAUCUGCGGUGGGUACGGGCAGACUAGAGUGAUGUAGGGGAGACUGGAAUCCCUGGUGUAGCGGUGAAAUGCGCAGAUAUCAGGAGGAACACCGAUGGCGAAGGCAGGUCUCUGGGCAUUAACUGACGCUGAGGAGCGAAAGCAUGGGGGAGCGAACAGG
rnacentral:rRNA from 1 species